UUUUAUCUUAUAACUUUUUAUCAAGGGUGUAGUUGAUGGAAAUCUCAUACUUUUAUGUUCCCUUUUCGUCAUCUGGAUCAUCUUUAUUUGGUUCAUCUUGAACCUUUUCAUUUAUGCCUUCUUUCAGAUAUUUUUCAGUAUCAUGUUCUUCUGGAACCUUUCCACUUAUGCCUUCUUUCAGACAUCUUAUAAUAUCAGGUUCUCUUUGAACCUUUCCACUUAUGUUUUCUUUCAGACAUUUUUUACUAUCAAGUUCUUCAGGAACUUUGCAACUUUUCUCAACCAAUUUCUUUCGGGGUUUUUUUUUAUCUCUAGAACCCGCUAGUCUCCCCCUCUUUAACUGAACCCUAGGUUCAUUUUAUUUUCAUCAGUUUGUUCUUUAGGAACAUCAACUCUUGAUGGAAUAUUUUUAGCGGGUAUAUCAUAUCGUAUCUGUGAACACAUUUCGUAACUGGUUUGUCAAAUUAUGCAAGUGCACAAUUUUUUUGAACUUCCAGCUCUCUUUGAUUUGUAGGGGGACCAAAGUGCAACAACGAAUGUGUACACCAUGUAAUUUAUUUAGGAAUUUCUCAAAUUUCUCCCCCAAACGCUGGAAUUCAUUCUCAUUAAAAUGACAAUUGGCAAAUCGUGCCGUAAACAUAUCACCAGUUCUGGUUCAAGAUACCUUAUAUACGGCUUGUUCUAACUCUUUCAGAGUUUUAUAUAUUCCCGAGAGCAUCUUUAACUCUCCAGGGAUUACUAAAUAUCAAGAUGCAACUCAAGUCAUUUUUGUCCUGCCAGACAUUUUAAUAUAUUGCAUCUAUUUUAAAUUUUCUCCAGUGACCUCGGAACAAGCCGUUUUUUCAUACCUAAAGGUCAUCUUUCAUUUCAUUCUCUGGAGAACUAUACCAUGGACUUUUGGUCCAAAAAUCUCUCGUUUUUCUAACGAGCUUUAUAUCGAAUUGAUGGCCAAUCAAUUCACUCUACCCUCAUACAUAGAGGUAGAUUCAUAAUCCUUAUUUAUAUAACGCUUUUUAUUUUAUUUAUUGUCGACAAUUUAUUUUCUCUUUGGUUCCAUCUUUUUAUCCGUACUGAUAUGGUUAAUCGAGAUCUCUUUAUCAUCAUCAAUGAUUUACCCAGGUACCUGACUAUUAUAUUAACCAUAUCAACGGUCUCAUCAUGAGAUUCAUCCUCUAUUUAUAUUUUUGCUCCUUUUCGAGGACUCUUUGGAACCAAAGUGGUCUAUCACGUCUCUAGCGUGCCAUCGACUCAUAUAUCGUCCGUCUAGGACACUAUUUUUUUUUUAAAUUGGAGCAUUUUCAGCUGGAAUAUGAGAUUUCAUUAUUUCAUCAAAAUGUCUGGCAGGCAUUUUGGAAAUGGAUUAUCCUACUUUUCAUUGUAAUCCAUUUCACAUAUCUCAUUCCAUCAGGUUAUCAUAUGCUUCUAGCAAACUUGCGAGCAUAUUUCUAAGUAUCCAUAUACUUUAUCCCUCUGGAUUGUAUAUGUCUUUAUUACAUGCACAACUGCAUGUUUACACCCGAUCAUGGGGAUCAUCUUACUUGAAUUUACUUUAUCAAGUUCUUUUUCAAGUGCGAACAUAAUUUCUCAAUGUUCCACUCACUAGGAUUCUUUAAUUCUCCCCCUCGAGAUGAUGACACUCCAUGUCUAAAAUCUCGUACUGAAUCCCACUCUAGAACCAAUAACAUAUU